rnacentral:misc_RNA from 1 species
AGCUGGAUCAUUACCCAAAUAUAAAACGUGUCGAACGGGGAUUAUACAAGUAGGGGUAUCCAACGAGGCGUGUCUCAGUCUAUCUGCUUGUACGUUUCGGCUCCGAAAGUGUUUUCUUAAGCGCUAAACGACUAAGUUGGUUUCUGUGCACCGGCAUAGGGGGAUGUUUUGUCGUGUUCCCGUGUGUGCUGGUGCGGUACGGCACGUGUGUGCCGCAGAAUUCAAGAGGCCCUCCUAUGGGUACCGCCAACAAAAACGGAGAAACGGGGAAAGAAGAAAAAUUAUAUAGUCUCAUCGGUGGAUCACUCGGCUCGUGGGUCGAUGAAGAACGCAGUGAACUGCGAUAAGUGAUGCGAAAUGCAAUCAUUGAACAUUGAGAUUUCGAAUGCACAUUGCGCCAUUGGUCAGAGAACCUUUGGCACAUCUGGCUCAGGGUUGUCACAAUAAAAUGAAUUCCUAAUUCGUUCAAUCGCGUUCUCAAUCAUUGUCCGACACACUACAGGACUUUGUUCGGGAAAAUGAUUUUAGCUGGUGGUUUUUGGUUAGUACGGGUAAUCGUCGCGUUUCUCAGUCUACCUGCCUAUACGUUUCGAGCUCUGAAAGCCUUCUCUCGCCGGCUGUCUUGAAAGCCAACCUGAGCUCAGGUGUGAGUACCUGCUGAACUUAAGCAUAUCAGUAAGCAGAGGAAAAGAAAACAACAGUGAUUCCCGUAGUAACGGCGAGUGAACUGGGAUCAGUCCAGCGCUUAAUCGCUAUGUGUCCACACGCAAAGCGAGGUGUAGCGUAUAGGCAAUUGUCGGUGGAUCGGCACUGAGUGCAAGUUUCUCUCGAAUGGGAUUCCAUAGAAGGUGAAAGACCUGUUGCUCUCUCGCGUGUCGGCUUGCCAUAUGGCUUUUGUCUUGGAGUCGAGUUGUUUGGGAACACAGCUCAAAGCGGGUGGUAAACUUCACCUAAGGCUAAAUAUGACCACGAGACCGAUAGAGGACAAGUACCGUGAGGGAAAGCCGAAAAGUACUUUGAAGAGAGAGUUAAAGAGGACGUGAAACCGGUGAGGUGGAAACGGAUAGAGCCAACGUAUCUGUCCUGUAUUCAGCCGCUUUUCGUUGUUAACUCAUCGUCAGUGGUGCAUUUGCAGGCGGAGUGCGCUGAGGCUUGUGGUGGAUCGGCUCGAUAUUUGUCUUGUGGGCAUGCUUCGGUGUGUAUCCCGGGCACUUGGAGGGCUGUGUUCGCUGCAUGCAGUGUCGCCUGUGCGUGUUGGCUUUUAUGAUUGGCGUAGGGUCUUCUGGUCGCUUGCGACAUCCGUUGAUUCCGAAACCGAUUGAACUGCUGAUGGAGCCGGGUGGCGUCUCGGUGUGAAAGUUGGUCACCUAUCCGACCCGUCUUGAAACACGGACCAAGGAGUUUAGCGCAUACGCGAGUCAUUGAGUGAACGAAACUCAUGGGCGCAAUGAAAAUGAGAUAUAGCGUGUGAUCCUAUUAAUAUGGAGCAACACGGCCCCGUGACGAUUGCUUGCAAUGUGGCGGAGGCAGAGCGUAUGCGAUGAGACCCGAAAGAUGGUGAACUUUACCCGAGCAGGAUGAAGCCGGAGGAAACUCUGGUGGAGGUCCGAAACGGUUCUGACGUGCAAAUCGAUCGUCUGACUUGGGUAAAGGGGCGAAAGACUAAUCGAACCAUCUAGUAGCUGGUUCUUGC